UACGAAGGGGGCUAGCGUUGCUCGGAAUGACUGGGCGUAAAGGGUGCGUAGGCGGCCCUGUAAGUAUGGUGUGAAAUCUCCCGGCUUAACUGGGAGGGUGCGCUAUAGACUGCGGGGCUCGAGUGUGGGAGAGGAAAGUGGAAUUCCUGGUGUAGCGGUGAAAUGCGUAGAUAUCAGGAGGAACACCGGUGGUGUAAACGGCUUUCUGGACCAUAACUGACGCUGAGGCACGAAAGCGUGGGUAGCAAACAGG
rnacentral:rRNA from 1 species